CAAAAUGGCAGUUGUGCACAUUGC
rnacentral:siRNA from 1 species